rfam:Jaapia argillacea MTCL 33604 unplaced genomic scaffold JAAARscaffold_1, whole genome shotgun sequence.
GUCCCUGUCGAUUAGUGGUUAAAUCAUCACGUUGUGGUGUCGUCUAUGACAGACUUCCAACUUGCAAUCCGUGAAGCCGGAGGUUCGAAUCCUCCUUGGGACA